rnacentral:lncRNA from 1 species
CCCCACUACACACACACACACACACACACACACACACUUAGUCAUAUGUUAACUUUGCUAGAUUUUACUCUAUCAUUGUUAAUCUCUUAUUUCACUUCUUCCAGGUGUCUAAUUUUAUUUUUGAAUGUUUUUAUUAUUGAGAAUUUUACUUAUGUUUCCUUUUUCUCUUCUUCCUAUCUCAUUUUCCUUUCUCUCCAUACAGUAUUUCCCACAUCCCUCCCUCCUCCUCUCACUCACAUAGCUUUACUGCUUCUCCGUUUCUCCUUCCCCUCUCUCGUCUCUUUGCUACUUCAUGCUUACUCUAGAGAAUGUCUAGCUUCAGUUUCCGUUUGUCCACCGGCCGUUCUGUGCUCCCAUACUCAGGCACUGUAACUGAUUCCAAGCACGUCUCUAUGGCUUCUGUGGAAUGACUCACUGCUCACAGGAGUGCUGCUGGCUGAGCUUCAGAAGGAGAGGAAAUGUUGUCAGCCUGACAAAUUCUGGAGUCACCUGGGAGAUGGGCCCCUGGACAUGCCUGGGGGACGAUCUUGAUUAGAUCACUAAUGAGGAAGACCCAGCUUGCUUUCCGGUGAGACCAUUCCCUGGGGAGGGGACCCUGGACUGUAUGAAAUGGAAACAGUGGACUGAGCACUGGCAUGCUCUCUACUGAUCGAUUAUUUGACCAGCUGCUACUUCAAGCUCCUACACCUUUAAGUCUCCCCAUGACAAACAGCAUCUCAAUAACACUUUCCUUCCUGAAGUUGCUCUUGAUGUAGUAUUCUAUCGUAGCAACCGAAAAAGAAGCUAAAACUAUUCAGAACAAUGAAUGCAAUAAGAACAUAGAAGGCAAGGCAAAGAUCCUAGAGACCCUGGGUAGAUCUUCAUGUGCCACGUGCAAAGGCACUGGGGUGAGCGAACUGCCGGAUGGAGAGUUCAAGCACAUCCGCUUUAAAACAAGUGGUAAAUGACCACAGCAAGCAGACGAGCCACGCCCAGGCCUGGAGAGGACAGACAGUCAGCACCACAGAGGGAAGCGCUGUACAGUGACAGGAGAGUAGCAUGAAAUAAAACUGAGCAAGAAAAUUCACAUUUUGAGGGAAAAACAGAAAUUUUAGAAAUGAAAAACUCAGUGAAUUAAAUAAACACAGUGGCAGAAGCAUCCCCUAUAUACUCAGGAUGGAGGAGCAAGGUGAUGGACUACAUUUGAACACCAGUAAGAAAAAUAAAUAAACAAAUAAAUAACUAUAACAUUCCAGGAGCUCUGAGUACAAUCAAGAACUCAGACCAGGGCUGGCAAGAUGACUUAUCGAGUAAAGGGCUGCCAAGCCUGAGUCGCAUUCCCAGUACCUGCAUGGUAGAGAGAACGGACUCCUGCCAAUAUUACCCUGAUCUCCACAUGUGUGCAGUGCUGUGCAUGUGUGGGCAUCCAUACACAGUAAAAAAAAAGUCUAAUAAGGGCUGGCGAG